AGUUCCCCUGCCAGAUCCCUAUCCAACUAAACCGCAGCUCAGAUGCCCCGCAUCUACAAAAUGCCCUCACUCCCCGCCCCAACAUCUGAGCGAGGGAAGAGCAUCCUCAGGGAGCCAGGAUCCCACAGGAGGUCAGCCCACCGCUGAGUCUUCCUCAGAACUCAGCAUCUCCACUAGCUGUCUGAGUUCCCAAACCAGGACAGGGCUCUGUUUCCCAGGGCUGACCACGAUGUUAGCUGCGGAUCAGAGGAUCGAGAACUAGAGAAGAAAGAACCAUCUAGAAGGACGGCAGAAUCACAGGAGAGAUCGAGCAUGGGGCCACAGAGAAAGCCUUGGGGAUACUACCGACCACAGAGACACCAGUGAUGUACAAAGAUCUCACCGGAAACACCGGAAAUAUCCUUCUGGAUUACAGAGUCUCAAGUACUAAAGUACUAAAGAGGAUUAACUCCGAUAACACCACUUUCAGGAAGUUUGACAACGGAGGUCAGAGCAUACACACAUCACUGACAAAAAACGGAUUACAGUAGGGUGAGCACUCAACGCGAAUCGGGCGAUGGACUGGAGGUCAGAUGGGCGUCCAAGUGCGUCAGGCUUAGAGAGCAGACAAAAGCUUCUGGUCUCUGCUUAAGUGGCACUGGAAACAGGAGACCUUCUUGGCCUCGGGCCCUGCAGACAGCCUUGCCUGCUGCUUCUGUCCCAACAGGCUACUAAAGCCAGGUUCUCAGACGACCCCGCUACCAGCUGCCAGUCCUCCGCUGUCCUCGGCUAUCUUAGGCUUUCCUCAGUCGAAAGACCCCUGAGCAGGAACAUGCUCAUCUGUGUGAUGGACCGGAAGGCAGGUUCACCAGGGUUCUCCGGGGUUGGAUGAAGUAAUCUUGCUUCUGCAUAAAUGUGCACACACAAACACACACACACCUCUACACACACAUACACCUACACUCAAAUAAGAGGCAUUCCAAUCCAUGUUCUUAUGAAGUAUAAGAAGUAAUAAUAAUUUCCCAGAAAUGCAAAAUGAGAAAAUUACUGAAUUUGGACUUCACACUGACCACAUCUGGAGGCGACAUACUCUGAAAUCAUAUUUGAUAUCAGCCCUACCUACAAGCCACUGCGACCUGCAAGAAACUGACUGGGUUACUACAAGACAGGCUGUGUACACAACGUGGAUGUGGACACAGUAUGAGCUGGAGGGAGCUGGAGGGCCUGAGAUUUUUAUCACUGAACUCAAAAUGACAAGCGAAUUAAACGUGCAAGCUAAUUUCUAGAAUUUCCCCUUUGAUGGUUUUGAAUUGUGGUUGACUGAAAUACCCAUCAUUAAAAUUGCAGAUAAGGAGA